UUCCGGUACGCGGUCGCCACUCCAGAACU
rnacentral:sRNA from 1 species